GGGAAGAUGGCCGAGUGGUUAUGGCGCUAGGUUCAGGUCCUAGUCACGCAAGUGUCGUGGGUUCGAAUCCCACUCUUCUCA
rfam:Tortispora caseinolytica NRRL Y-17796 unplaced genomic scaffold CANCAscaffold_2, whole genome shotgun sequence.